rnacentral:rRNA from 1 species
AUCACAUCCUGGGGCUGUAGUAGGUCCCAAGGGUUGGGCUGUUCGCCCAUUAAAGUGGUACGCGAGCUGGGUUCAGAACGUCGUGAGACAGUUCGGUCCCUAUCCGUCGCAGGCGUAGGAAAUUUGAGAAGACCUGUCCUUAGUACGAGAGGACCGGGAUGGACGUACCUCUGGUGUACCAGUUGUUCUGCCAAGGGCAUGGCUGGGUAGCUAUGUACGGAAUGGAUAAGCGCUGAAAGCAUCUAAGCGCGAAGCCAACUUCAAGAUAAGAUUUCCCACCGCAAGGGUAAGACCCCAGAAAGACUAUCUGGUUGAUAGGUCGAAGGUGUAAGUGCAGCAAUGUAUUUAGCUUAUCGAUACUAAUAGGUCGAGGACUUGACCAAU